rnacentral:tRNA from 2 species
GCCCGGCUAGCUCAAUCGGUAGAGCGUGAGACUCUUAGAUCUCAGGUCAUCUCAAGGUUGUGGGUUCGACCCCCACGUCGGGCU